rnacentral:misc_RNA from 1 species
AAGAUCCUAACAUUGAGGUUCUGCCUAUCAAAGAGAAUGUAAGUUCCCAUUUCUUGUUGCAGUGACUUCAUAAGCAAUCUGCCAUCUCUGGAAAAAAGAAGCUGCAGAACUGCUUGAGUGAGGCAACCAUGAUCGACUGUCUUUCCCUUCAUUAGCUGCUCCAGUGGCCUCCUCAACUCUGCUACCGUCUUCGUAGCAUUAGCAGAUAUCUUCACUCUAUAGGAACCAUUUUCAUUCCUUUCUAAACUGCAAUGAACACCAGGUCGACGCGUUAACCUUUUGAGCAAAGAGUUUAGCUGCCUCUCAAUGAAUGCAAAAACAGGAGCAGGGCAUGACACAGAACUAUGGAAAAUCCGCUGGCACUGCAUUUUCUGCCAUGAUAAACAACCAGCAAGUACCUUCCCUUGAAUAUGUUGCAAGGCUUUUGCAGCCUCCAGAUGUAGACUCCCAUCAAAGGUUAUCCACGCCUUCAUAAAAGUAUCCUUUGGCUCAGGGUAGAAUACCUGAACAUGACAGCAAUUGCUCAAAGGACCCUGGUUAGGCAUGAAUGGAGCAAU